rnacentral:rRNA from 1 species
CCUACGGGAGGCAGCAGUGAGGAAUAUUGGUCAAUGGGCGCAAGCCUGAACCAGCCAAGUCGCGUGAGGGAUGACGGUCCUAUGGAUUGUAAACCUCUUUUGUCGGGGAGCAAGGCCCGCCACGUGUGGCGGGAAGGAGAGUACCCGAAGAAAAAGCAUCGGCUAACUCCGUGCCAGCAGCCGCGGUAAUACGGAGGAUGGGAGCGUUAUCCGGAUUUAUUGGGUUUAAAGGGUGCGUAGGCGGAAGGUUAAGUCAGCGGUAAAAUGUCGGUGCUCAACACCGGCCUGCCGUUGAAACUGGUCUUCUUGAGUGAGCGAGAAGUAUGCGGAAUGCGUGGUGUAGCGGUGAAAUGCAUAGAUAUCACGCAGAACUCCGAUUGCGAAGGCAGCAUACCGGCGCUCAACUGACGCUGAGGCACGAAAGCGUGGGGAUCGAACAGGAUUAGAUACCCCGGUAGUC